UAGCGGAAUCCCACGACAUCCACGCUUCACAACACUCCACCUAAUUGGGGGAGAGGGAGUCCGCAACACGUGUGUGCGUGUGUGCAUGUGUGUGUGCGUGUGUGCGUACUUGUUUGUACGUGUGGGCUUGCGAGAAAGAAAGUAAGGCUUCUAUUCAAUCCGCAUCGUGGAAAUUCAGUUUUACAGCAUGAUUGAAAUUUGAAGGCAAUGAUCCCGCUUUAGCAGAGACUGCGUUCACGCGUUUAGCAGUGACAUCGGAAACGGUGAAGUCGGCGCACGAUACCCCCAUGACUGCGUCAUUGGAUCACGAAACGGGGGAAGCUGCGUUGCAGUCCGUGCGCUGGGUCAGGGUGCCCCCUCCACCAAGGGAAGCUGCAUUGCAGCCCGUGCACCCUCCACACAGGGCGGGAUGAAGUCCGUGAGGCCCCGGUUCCCAAGCGUGACCCGCAGGUGCCAGGAGUGAGGGGGAAAGUUUGGCCACAGGGGUCGAGGGUCCAUCCACAUCUGCGUCCACGUCUACAGUUCGUGUGUCGACCGCCUCAGUCCUGCAAACCCAGAACGAGUUGAACACAUUGGUUGGGCAGAUUGUGACUGAACUUGCAAGAAUGCGCAGGGUUUUAAUUCAUUUACAUAAUGC
rnacentral:lncRNA from 1 species